AUUGAACGCUGGCGGCAGGCCUAACACCUGCACGUCGAACGAGUGGCGGACGGGUGAGUAAUGUCUGGGAAACUGCCCGCUGGAGGGGGAUAACUCCUGGAAACGGUAGCUAAUACCGCAUACCAUCGGAUGUGCCCAGAUGGGAUUAGCUAGUAGGUGGGGUAACGGCUCACCUAGGCGACGAUCCCUAGCUGGUCUGAGGGGAUGACCAGCCACAAUGGAACUGAGACACGGUCCAGAAUCAUACGGGAGGGAGAAGUGGGGAAUAGUGAACAAUGGGCGAAAGCCAGAUGCAGCCAUGCGGCGUGUAUGAAGAAGGCCGUCGGGUUGUAAAGUACUUUCAGCGAGGAGGCGUUACUCGCAGAAGAAGCACCGGCUAACUCCGUGCCAGCAGCGGCGGUAAUAC
rnacentral:rRNA from 1 species